rnacentral:rRNA from 1 species
UACGUAGGAGGCGAGCGUUGUCCGGAGUUACUGGGCGUAAAGCGCACGUAGGCGGCUUUGCAAGUUAGAGGUGAAAGCCCGGGGCUCAACCCCGGAAUUGCCUUUAAGACUGCAUCGCUUGAAUCCGGGAGAGGUGAGUGGAAUUCCGAGUGUAGAGGUGAAAUUCGUAGAUAUUCGGAAGAACACCAGUGGCGAAGGCGGCUCACUGGACCGGUAUUGACGCUGAGGUGCGAAAGCGUGGGGAGCAAACAGG